rnacentral:rRNA from 1 species
AACGUAGGUGGCGAGCGUUAUCCGGAUUUACUGGGCGUAAAGCGUGUGCAGGCGGGGUGUUAAGUUGUGUAUGAAAUAUCCCAGCUUAACUGGGAGGGGUUAUGCCAGACGGUCACUCUAGAGUGCGAGAGAGGAACGUGGAAUUCCGGGUGUAGUGGUGAAAUGCGUAGAGAUCCGGAGGAACCCCAGAGGCGAAGGCGGCGUUCUGGCUCGCAACUGACGCUCAGACACGACAGCAUGGGGAGCGAACGGG